CCUUGGGUCACCCGCAGCUGCAGCUCCACGGCUGUCACACGGAGGAGGACAGCAGACAAGGCGGUGCCCUGCAGCCUGGGGAAAGGACGCACAAGACAGGCCUGGAGGAAAGCCCGGCCUGGGCUCAGCGGACACCUUCUAAUCACUCCCUGGUCACACGGAUGAGACGAGGACCCUACAGAAUGAAUUCCUGCAGAGGAGAGCGGCUGGGUCCCUCUUGUCAUAGCCUGCGGAGCACAGGGCAGCGCCACCCCCCACACCUGUGUCCUGCCUCCUCUGAUGACAGCGCUGGGCUCAGACAAGAAGAUGGCUGUCUGCAAACGAGGAAGAGGCCCAAAGCUGCCAGCACCUUGACCUUGGACACCCAGCCUCCAGAACU